CAAAUUACAGCUUUGAGUUCAGCGUUCACUCCUCGAGUGUAAACUGAGCUCUUAAUCUGCUUAAUGCAGAAAUCACUCUUCUUCUACUCUCAAAAAAGACAAGACUACUUUCGGUCCAGAUAUUUUGUGUGUUGACAGAAAAAAAACAUCAAAUUGGUGCAUUCCUGUUUGUGUUGAUAAAAUUGCGACGCCUGUUUUAUGCAACAUGAGAUUACAUUUUCACACCUGAUAAUGGCGAUGUAGCCCGUGAACACGAUGCUGGCGUAGACGUUGAGGAAGAGGACGGAUGCGCCAAGGUUGCAGUUGAGCAAGUGGAUGGUGGCGUAGCGUCUGUUAUAGUUGGCCAUGCGUAAUGGUAAACAGAGGCAGAGCCAGAAGUCAGCGACCGCCAAGUUCUUCAGGUAGACCGCGAGGCUGCCGGGCGCUCUCCGAUGACCUCGGCAAAAGAAAAACGCCAAGAUGAAGCCGUUGAGCGGGAGACCCACCUGGAGAGAAAAACAUGAAACACCAGACCGUGGACCGCCAUGAAGAAGAUGUCGGCCGAGCGGUCCACCGGAACACAGGUCGAACCGUUUGUGACGGACGACUGGUUGAAGGAUGAAGGCCCAUCCUCUACUGCUCCGUCAGUCAUUUCCAUCCGAUUGACCUAGAGGAGGUGAACCCAAAUUACAAAUCUACAUAUUCACAGUCAGCCCAAAAAUACGCUGUAGAUGUAUCACUAGAGGAAUGCAUGUAUGGCUUCAAAUCUAUUUUGUAUGAUAUAUUCUACUGAAAUGAACACAUUAAAACAAGAGAGGGAUGAAAUGCCUGCAGCACUUACCUGUCAGUGUGGACGUCUGAAAUGGGACUGAACUGCUUCCGUCUUUAAGGCUAUCUCGCAGGACUGCUGCAGAAGAGUGAUGGUGGCCACGAUAGCUUCCUCUGACAUCCUCCACAACUUAGUGGUCAAAAACCUACGCUUUGUAAAAGACAAAAAAAAGCACUAUCUACUAUCUGAGGUGAGGUGUGGAAGAAGCAUGACGUCGAUGUGCUAAUCCAUCAAUCUUAAAGUACAGCAUUCAAAAUUCUACCUGAGUAAGGCAAGGCAAUUUCAUUUGUAUAGCAUAUUUCAACAACAGGGCCGAUUUUGCAACUGUCUUAGUAUGGCUGUUCAGGUUGAGAUCCGAAUCAAUAACUACACCUAGAUUUCUUGGUUCCUUUGUGGUUUUUAACUUCAGCGAUUGAAGCUCAAUGUCAAUGUUUUAUUAAAGAAAGUUUUGCCACAUCCCGUUGUUUCACUGUUGAAUGCAUUUACAUAGCCC
ensembl:lncRNA